CCUUUCUCUGCUUUUGCCACUCCUACAGCACGCUGCUGACAUUCUGGCAUAAUAAAUCAGAGUAUAUUUAGGGGAUAUUAAAAAGGGAGAAACACACAGAAUUAGGUUAAGAUCAGCCUAAAACUUCAGCCUAAAGGAUGAAGUUAUGAAUAGGUAUUUAUUUCAAACACUCCUAUACUUUUAGUAAGUUUUCUUUUGUUGUCCACAUUGUUCCUUAACUUCCUGAUUUUCUAAGUUUCCUCAUGAAUAUAUAAGACCCUUAGGUGAAAAAUCAAUACUGCCUUUACUUUUGCAAGUUGUUACUAGUACUGAAUUUCGAUAAUGGUAGUUUAAAUAGUAAAACAAACAAUUCCUCGUUUAAUAUUUGUUUAAUACAGGAUCAGAUCUUUUUCUUAGUCUUUUGUUUUGUCAUUGCAAAUCAGUGGCAGGGGACUUGUUUCAGUCUGAGCAUUAUACUCCUCAUUAAAGUGACGAGAGUGCCUUGAUUGCUUGGGUAAAGUAAUCAAGUGAAAUAAAGGGGAAACUUACCUUACAAAAUUUCAAGAGCACAAAAGAAGAAAGCAAGAUCAUUAGGAAAAAUUGUUGAGGACAACACCUCUAAACUGGCGAUGCUCAAGCGGAUUCAAGUAAUCCUUGAGGAUUCUGCGCACCGCACUCUCAUCCUGUCCCUGUCUACGCAUCCGCUCUGCCACCCACUCAACACUACGCUGAUACUUCUUUGACGUGAUGAUAGGGACGCGCAUGAAAUUUGGUGCCGUGACUCAGAUUGGGGGACCUCCCUUGGGAGAUCCAUCCCCUGUCCUCCUGUUCUUUGCUCCGUGAGAAAGAUCCACCUAUGACCACAGGUCCUCAGACCAACCAGCUCAAGAAACAUCUCACCAAUUUCAAAUCCGAUCUUCUUGGCUUAGCGACUGAAGACUGACGCUGCGGAUCGCCUCGGAAGCCCCCUAGACCAUCACGGACGCCGAGCUUCGGGUAACUCUCACAGUGGAAGAAUAUUUUCAAUCCAUGGAUGUGGAACUCACAGAUGUGGAGGACGGACUAUAGAUACAAACUGGUUAGUGCCUCACAUGCUGAACAGAACGAAUGCAAGAUAACAUAACUUCAUAGUAUGUGAGCUCUUCUCAGAUAGUUUAUUAAAAAGACAUACAUAGAUGCUUUCCUUAAUAUAUUUAACAACCCCAAGGCUAGUCUGUCAAAUAAAAAAAAAAUGAAAAGGACUCACAGUCAUUUGUUUUAUUUCUGAAGUUAAACAAAAAAUAAAAUUCUAAGGUCCACCAACCAUCUGAAUGAACUCCUCCUCUCAGCUACGGGCAUUCCUGAGUUAACCUGAAAAUCCAGUUCAGGUUAUGAUGACAAAGGGGGUUGGACAUGCCUCACUAUACCCUCCAGCAUUAACAUUAACACAGACCUUAAGUCUGAUAAGAAACGUUUGCAAUCUAUUUUCUGUGAAGCCUGCUGGAGGCUUCAUCUGCAUAAUAAAACCUUGGUCUCUACAACCCCUUAUUUUAACCCAGAUAUUCCUUUCUACUGACAAUAACUCUUUCAAACAAAUGUCAGUCAGGAAACAUUUAAAUCUGUCUAUGACCUGGAAGCUCCCCACUAUUGAGUUGUCCUGCCCUUCCAGAUGGAACCAAUGUAAGUAAAUCUUCCAGGUAUUGAUUGAUAUCUCAUGUCUCCCUAAAAUGUAUAAAAGCAGGCUGUACCCUGGCCACCUUGGGCACAUAUUGUUGGGACCUCCUGAGGGUGUCACUGGCGUGUCCUUAACUUUGUCAAAAUAAACUUUCUAAAUUGAUUGAGACCUGUCUCAGGUAUUUGGGGUUGACAAAC
rnacentral:lncRNA from 10 species